GGAGAACAGCCCUGCUGCGAAGUCAGGGAGAGGCAGGCCAAUAAUGGACCCUUUUGCGUUGCUCCAUCCUUUAUGAGUUUAGGUGCAUGGCGAAGACUUUCCUCUUCACACAGGCAUUUGGUUACAUGGAAGUCAAACCAAAACCUGGAUUUGGGUGUGCCCAUGAAUGCCGAGAACUGCUUUGCCUGACACAACAGUGACUGGGAGAUUACUGUAAUACUAUAAGUUUGGCAAAAACAACAACAACAACCCUUAUCUGAUUAUUUUCUCCUGAUCUCAGUAGCCCUGAGUAGCCCACUGAGCCUAAAAAGGGUCAACCACAAAUAUUAUUUGGCAGCUAUGCUGAAUUUGUGAGCCAGCACAGCAAGAACUUUCUCGAAUCAUCCAGGAGUCUGAGUUUUGUGACACAUCGUUCACAGGAGCUCACUAUUUAUG